CCUUAGGAAGGUCCUAUACGGGAUGUUGCUAGGCAACUCACCAGCUUCCGUCGGAUCCAGCCGCGCGUCAUCGCCGCCCGCCGAUCUCUGUCGCCCGCAGCCUCCGCCGCCCGCCCGGAUCGGAUAACCAAGAAAAGUUACCACUAUAAGCCUAUAUUAAAUGGCUUUCAUGGCUUUAUGUAAGUAAAGUUUGAUUAAUGCCGAUUGAAAUGUUAUUCGACUUUCUAAAUGACUAGUUGUCUAUAACAAUGUAUCAUUCGGAACAAUCCUCUGUGAAGCAAACAUAAUAAUAGUAAAACUCUCUUUCCUGUCUUAGAAUCCAGGUGGUUUGUUCUUUUAGGCUAUGUUCACACUUAUUUUCCUGCCAGCAUGCUGCACUACUUGCGCUAUUCUUCCCAUAAUGUCAGUGUGAACAGAGCCUCAGUUAGAGUGAUACACUGUAUCAAACUCCAACUGUGAGAAAGUAGGAUAAGGUGAAUAUACAUUUUCAGCUACUGAAAAAUUAAACACAUAGUAUAAGAACGUUUCACAACUGUUCACUGUGAUAAAGAUUUAAACAAGUCUGGAAAUCAUAAACCUGGAAGACCCCUCGAGGCUAAGUUUUCACUUGUUUUUUUUUCUGGCCAAAAAAAAUGCCAGAAAAAACGCCACGGCAUUUUCCUGCGUUUGGCAUAUUUUUUCUUGCAUUUUUGCUUUUUUUGUGGAAAUUGCAUUUUUGGCCUCUUUGGAGUUUUUUAAAGAAUUUUGUUUGUGUACCAAAAAAAUAAAUUAAAAUAAAUUAAAAUAAAGAAUGCAGUAGGAAUGGAAAAAAUUGUAUUUAACAGGACCUAAAAAUGUAGCCGGCAAUAUUAAAAAUGUAUAAAAGGGCCAUUUAAUUGUAAAAAUAAUAUAUUUUUUUAUAAUUAAUUUAAUCAAACUAUUUAUUAGUAAUGUAGUUUAAUUAUGUGUUUAAUAAAGUGUGUAUUCAAUUUUUAACUUUUUUAACUUUUUUAAUUUUUUAGGUAGUACUACUACUCCCAGCAUGGAACAGACGGUUCCAUGCUGGGAGCAGUAGUACCUGUACUAAUAGACAGAUUGCUCUGGGUGUCACUUCUGACACCCAUUGCGAUCCUCCUAUAUAAUCUAUGUUGCAAUAAUAUAUCACUAAGUAUCCAAAGAAAUAUGAUGAUGGGGCAGAGCCUAGAAGCCAUGCUGAGCAGCAGCUGAAAAGAGGAGCUCUGAUCUUUCACCACUAUACAGCGACAUUUGAUCUACUCAAAACCUCUAAAGGGUCUCCAUUUAUACAGAAAUUGAAGGAGGAUCUCAUGAGGAACACAUAGAUACCAUUUGUGGACAUAUUUGAGUAAAGAUCGCAACUUUAUUCCUUUAAUAACCUGCCAUGCUUGAAGAGAAGACCUGUCUCGCCUACCCAGCCACAGUACAAGGUAGGAGCCGACCCGGCUAUAAACAUAUCAUACAGAGGAGAUAGCAAGAGAUAGCCACAGCAUAUUAUAGCCCUCUUUUGCUGAAUCGUGGAGAUUACACUAACAUAAGGCGAAAAAGCCUGCGAAAAUCCGCCAUUAAGGUACAGGGAGGUGGGCAGAGAAACCAGAAGAGAAGGAGGCUAACCGGAAGUCAGGCAUUACUGCUCACCAGAGCUUCUAUACACUACAGGACUGUAUUUACUAACCGGUCUGAGCCUCAACGUUCCCUGCAGAGCCCUAAGAGUGACAGGAGCCUUGGUAUGAAGAUCACUGACAGAGUGGGUAUUCAUGUAAACCAGAGAUUGUGAGUACAGCAGCGCAAAUUCACCAGCGCUAUUUCACUACCAGCAAAUUAACCCAGAGCUUGCCUCCACAUAAUACCAAUGCUUGACGACUAAUACUAGCUCAGAGACAACACUGUAUAGAGCAAUUUCUUUAAUCACCGCCUACUAUUGAGUCCAAAUGGACAUAAGACUGCACUAUUAACCAUAUAGCUGCCGUCUCAGACCCACAUCUUACAUUUACUGGUGUAUCCUAUCCCAUACUCAGAUUGCAUUAUUUGAAAUAUAAAUAGAAGCUCCAUCGUGACUUAAAUUUAACUUUAACUCUUUCAUAUUCUCCUACAAGGAUACUAUUGUGCUACAGAACUAUUUGCACUAUUGUAUCAACACUAAGGGUACCUACAACACUACUAACCUGCUGCAAGACCCUAUUUUAAGGAAUUUAUUUAUUCUUUCUGCUACUAGUAUGAGAGGGAGAGGCUUUCAGACACCAAGAAAGAGCAAUAGACUACUGGAAUCUUCCCAAACCCCUCUUAACCACAAUUUGGGGGAAUUCAACCUUUCACAGAAAGAAAAUACAUUUUCCCAUAAAAGAACCAACCACCUAAGGACUUCUCUUUUGAAUCAAAAAAUAGAUAUAGUCCCCUGGCAUCAAUCAUGAAAGGUUCACAUAAAAACAAACACCCACCAUCAGCUCCUUCGUCAUCUAAUACAAUUCCGGUUAAGCAAAAAGCAAGACUCAUGGAUAAUGUAGAUAGUGAACACUCCACUGAAUCAAACAUCUCAGAUCCACUAGACUCAAUGUUAAAAUCUGGAAAUAUAGCAACAGAACACUUUAUUAAAGACGGUAUACUUUUGCUCAAGGACUCGUUUACUAAAGAAAUACAAAAAAUUGUUGAAACAACUAAUAGCUCAUUUACCCAAGUAUCAGCCAGAAUUGAUCAGAUAGAAGAAAAAAUAGAAGAUCUUAAAGAUGAGCAAUCACAAAUAUAUUCAGAACUUGAGAAUUUCUGCGGCAUACCAAAAGAAAUAACUGGGACCUUUCAUUAAGGACUAUACAAAAAACUUACUGCCAAACUGCCCGGAAAUAGAGCUUGAGAGACAGAGCACACCGUUUGCCAAGACCCAGAAAUUUGGACCCCUUACUUCUUAGAGACGCAAUUGCAAGAUUCCACUUUUUUGGCACUAAAGAAAGACUUGUGGCAGCUUUAAAAAAGAAUCCAGCACUACCGGCAGAAUACAGAGAUAUAACAUUAUUUAUGAAUUUGCCACAAUACACAAUCCAGACAAGGAGGACAUUCUCACAAAUCACAGCCACGCUCCGCAAAAACAAUAUUCCAUACAGAUGGAAAUUAUCAUCCCGGAUGGGAACUCAACCAGGAUAAUAUCUACGGUUAACCGGGGUAUUGACUUAUUAUCCAGAUGGGAUCUGAUUCCAGAACAGCCUCCACCCAACAGAACUACUCAGAGGAACUGAUUUCUACAGAUUUCCUGUUGCUUCAAUGGUUUGUAGCAUUUCUAACAAGCAAUACAAAGGCCUCAUGAUGUCUCCUUCCUUUAUGGUUCAUCAUAGACUCUUAGUAUUUUCAACUUAAUUUCGUUUUCCUCCUUUCCAAUAGGAAUCUUCCCCUGAUUCUUGCAGCAAUAAGCUGCACCUUUAUCUCUUCUUCCUAUCCUACUUCUGAUUCUAUUUGACCUAUUCUACCACUUAUUAGUAAGUACUUAUUACAAACUGUUCUGUAGUAAUUAAUAUUUGUUUGUGUUUUUUUUUUCUUUUUUCCUUUGUUUUGUACACAACCAGAUUGGGAUCAUCACAGCCUGGAUUGGGACCAUCUUCAUUAACCUGUUCAGGACCCAUGACGUAUGCAUACGUCUUCACACCCUGGGUCUUAAGGACCCAUGACGUAUGCAUACGUCAUGGCGUUUUCCGGUCUCUGCCGCUCGCCGGGCAGAGAUCGGAACUGGAUGCCUGCUGAAAUCCUUCAGCAGGCAUCCAGGGCAAACGCCCAGGGGGGCCAUGUAGGCCCCCCAUGUCGGCGAUCGCCGCAAAUCGCAAGGGAAAUCGCCCUUGCGAUCUGCGGCGAUACCGGGCUGAUCGGGUCUCUGGGACCCGACCUCCCGGUAAUUUCGCAUGAUCCCGGCUGUCGCAGACAGCCAGGACCAUGCUGGAGUAUCGGAGCGAGGUGGCAAGCCGGCCACCUCCUCCGAUCCCCUGCGAUCUGUCGGUUAGUUAACCGACCAAUCGCAGGAGGGGGGGCGGUUACUUCCUCCCGUCCUGUCCGGCCCCUGAAAGUCCGGAGAGGACGGGAGGAAGACCGGAGGACGCGGCGGGGGACGGGGGAGUGCUGGGGACCGGCCCCGGUACUUACCUCGUCCCUGAAGACCCGGAUCCAGACGAUGAAGACGGCGGCGGCGGCGACAGGUGAGUA